rnacentral:misc_RNA from 1 species
AGAGAGUUUAGAUUUAUGAUACAUACCAUGUUAGUGUUGUAAUAUUAUGUGCCGUUAAGAGUUGGACUCUUUAGCUGGGCACAUCUGGUCCUUGCAUAAACAUAUUUGUUUGUUCCUGACCAGUAUAGGCUAGGAUUGAUGAGAAUAAUUUUUCCCUAUGACGACAUUUUGAGUAUGAGUAUGGCUUUUGAGUUUUGCUUCCCAUGCAUAUUGAAGUUUAUGAUAGUUGUCAAAGGCAUCCUUUGGUGCACCUUGGUUCUAGGCCCACACAAGCCCUAUUUCACAUGCCUGGGCUGGUUCAAACCAGUCUCCAUCCUUGAGGCACUUACCUUUUAGGUGCAACUUGGCAUGUGUGUUAGUGGCUUGAUUUUUUUUCCCUUGAAUGGUACCCUAUAUUAGUUGAUUUUGCUUGUAUUGUCUAAGUUGGCUGCCUUCCAAUGGUAUUGAUUAGAGUCCAAACAAAAACAAGUAAUUUCUUUGCUCGGUGCUCAUCUAGAUGAGGAAGGAACUAGUUUAAAGAUGGAUGAAUAGAAAGAAGACAUGAUGAUCUUUGACAUGAUGAUGAUAAAACAUCAUUAUUUUUUUUUUCUAGGAAUGGUUCAUGUAGUAUAUUUAAGGUUGCUGUUAUGAUCUUUGUGCGAGUAUGUUUUUGUGGUUGCUAUUAUGAUUUGUGCCAGAGAAAUCUUAGUAGUUGGUAAUUUUCUUCUUUGUUGUAUUGAUUUAGCUUGAAGGCUGCCUGUUUGGGAUCAUUUCUUUGAACUUAAGUGUGCACAUUACUUAUAGUGAGCUGUUUUAGUUGUUGAACUUCUUUUUAGUAUUCAUGUUUUGUUAAGAAUUUUUUGUAAUGCCUUUUUAAGCAAAUUAUUAGUGGUUAUAAAGUAGUAUUGUUGAUCCCUCAUGCCUAGCCUCUUAGUACUCUGAACACCAUUGGCAACUAUGAGGUUUACAAAACACUGUACUUUUUAAAAGAUGAUGGAUUUAUCAAGAGUUUUUUUGAAAUUUUAGGAAGAGUGAAAUGUUCCAUUAAAGAGAGAGAUUCAGGCUUAGUUUUCUUUGUUUUGUAAAGCUUUUUCUUGUUCAACUUUAUGCGUACGGUUCUGUAUUCUUUAUUUGGAACCAUCACACUAGUUUUUUGAUGAAUAUUCUUUGCAUUCUUGAUGCCACAAGGAGUUGAUGUUUUCAGACGUGUUCUUCUGAGGUUCACUUGGGAUCUUAGAUUGUUCUUGGU